GGCCACGCCCGCGCACUCCCCUGCAGCCUAGCGCGGGCUCGGUCCCACCGCGGACCCCGCCUCCGGGAAGGCGCCCCGCGUUCUCCCUUCCGCCUCGGGCAGCGGGGCGGGGUACGCGAAGUAGCGACUUUCUGAGGUACCUUUACGCAGGGUCGCCAUCUAGUGACGGCAGGAUAUACUGCUGCGUUCGGCCGCGAAGCCGGCCGACGCUACAAGUUGGGAACGUUUCUGAAUACUUCAUGUGCAAAGACACAUCUCCAGACUGAAAGGUCAUUACAGUCCCAGUGGACAAAGAUUAAGGAGAAGCCAGCCGUGCUUUGGUUUAUGCUUUUAUAACUCUUGGGCCUGUUCACGUGGGUCAGAUACCAUCACUCUUCCCGGGCCAGUGAACGCCAUGGUGUGGGGGCAGGAAGGAGUGACAAGGGUGCCUGCUGAGCCACUCCCUGGAACCAGCCCCUGACCUGGAACUGGACUUAGAGGCCCUGUGCCCAGCCCCUGAGACUGGUAAAGACACUGCUCAGUAACACAGUUAACAAAUGAAGAGAUGGUCAAGUUCACCCAUAACUAAAGAAAUGCAAGUUGAAGUUUCACAUUUUUGCCCAUCAGAUUGAUAAAGACUAAGAAAAUUGAUCAUAUCAAGUGCUGGGGAGGCUGUGGGGAACAACCCCUCAUCCACUGUUUGUUCAGCUUCUUAUGAAGAAUUUGGGGACUUUCGACACUGUCCAUCAAAUACAAAACUGUGACCACCCUUUGGCUCAGCAGUUUCAUUUUAACGAAGCUAUCUGAAGAUAACAUCGGUUUGAUGUUUAAAAACAGUGCACGAGGAUGUCACUGAAUUAUAACUGUAGCUUUUGCAUUGAUUUCGCUCAAACAGGACUGCCUGUCCACAUGGAAACAACUCGAAUGUCCACCAGCAGGAGACUCCUUAAAUAAAUUAUGUAUGGGGAGCUGCCCUCCUGGAGCUCUGAUACCUCCCAGCCCUGGCUCUCUGAGAUCCGUGCCAAAUUCCUGCGAGGGAGAAUCCGAUUGGCCCAACUGUUAGCUGUGACGAAGGGUGGGGCACAGAGACCACCUGC